AUAAUGACUCUCGGCAACGGAUAUCUCGGCUCUCGCAUCGAUGAAGAACGUAGCGAAAUGCGAUACUUGGUGUGAAUUGCAGAAUCCCGUGAACCAUCGAGUCUUUGAACGCAAGUUGCGCCCGAAGCCUUCUGGCCGAGGGCACGUCUGCCUGGGCGUCACGC
rnacentral:rRNA from 7 species